rnacentral:rRNA from 1 species
GAUAACUUAAUGCGUUAGCUGCGCCACCCCAAUUCCAUGMACCCGGACAGCUAGUUAUCAUCGUYUACGGCGUGGACUACCAGGGUAUCUAAUCCUGUUUACUCCCCACGCUUUCGCACCUCAGCGUCAAUACCUGUCCAGUGAGCCGCCUUCGCCACUGGUGUUCUUCCGAAUAUCUACGAAUUUCACCUCUACACUCGGAAUUCCACUCACCUCUCCAGGAUUCUAGUUACCUAGUUUCAAAGGCAGUUCCGGGGUUGAGCCCCGGGCUUUCACCUCUGACUUGAGUAACCGCCUACGUGCGCUUUACGCCCAGUAAUUCCGAACAACGCUAGCUCCCUCCGUAUUACCGCGGCUGCUGGCACGGAGUUAGCCGGAGCUUAUUCUCCAGGUACUGUCAUUAUCAUCCCUGGUAAAAGAGCUUUACAACCCUAAGGCCUUCAUCACACACGCGGCAUUGCUGGAUCAGGCUUUCGCCCAUUGUCCAAAAUUCCCCACUGCUA